AACCUUCACAAUGCACGAAAGUGCGAUGAGGUUACCCGGAGUGCCACAUAGUGGCUGUGGUAGGUGAGUAAGAUUCCCUGCUAGGAAGGAGAGGGCAAGGCUGGUGCCAGCCGCCGCGGUAAAACCAGCUCUUCAAGUGGUCGGGACUAUUAUUGGGCUUAAAGUGUCCGUAGCCGGUUUAGUAAGUUCCUGGUUAAAUCGGAUGGCUUAACUAUCUAUCUGCUAGGAAUACUACUAUACUAGG
rnacentral:rRNA from 1 species